rnacentral:pre_miRNA from 1 species
AGGGGUUGAUUGUUCACUCUCCCUCAAGGGCUUCUCGCUUUAACAUCCAAGAACAAGACUAGAGGCCCUUGGGGAGGAGUAAAUAAGCUGUUCCUUAUAUAUAUAUAUAUAUAUAACACAAAGAAGUUCAUCUUGUUUCUCACCUUCAUAA